ACAGCUGCAGCCCAUCUCCAUUUUGCCCAUCUCCUUAUGUAAGUAUCUCUGAUUGGCUGCAACAGAAAGAAGCCUAAAUGUGUGUCAGAGAGGUCCAUUGGGUCCUGUGAAGCAAACGAAUACACAUGCGCAAAGUUUGUGUGUUUCAGAGCAAAUGGACCAGACACAACACCUGACCGACAGCUUCCAGGACAACAAGCUUCACCGGGCCGGGGCUUCCCCCGUAGACAGCCCUGAGUCCCUCCAGCAACAGAACACCUCCCUAGAGGGGGUUGCUCUACAAAAUCAGAAAGCUCUGCACUUCACUGAUUGCAGAGGGACUUGCAUUUGGCUGGGGGAUAAAUGAUGUUUCUAUGCCAAUGAACCUGGGCUGGUGGAAUAAAACAUACAAAUGCUCAGAGAUCUCCAGUGAGAUCUCAGGGCUCCAGGGCAAGGUCUGCGACUAACAUCCCUACCUCAUGGUACUAAAACCCUCUGGUGCAUUGGUAUCUCCCUCCUUGGCCCAUAACUGGUUAAGGGCGCCCUAUUCCUCCAGGCACCCUGCCUCAUCCAAAUUUCUAAAAGGGCAGAUAAGUAGCAUUGAAAAAGAAUCACUGCCAAUCAGUUUCUGGUUCAGUACCAAGCCGUUCCCAGCAUAGAGGCUGGUGUGUAAGAUGCUACUUUCUCCUCUAUAAAACCAAAGUGGGGAGGUGUGGGGCCGGAGAGCCUUUUGACUGGGGGAGCCAGUCCAUAGUGAGGUGGAGACAUGUCCAAACCCCGAAAACCUGGUCCUGAGACCAUGUGGAGCAGGACUGUCUUCCUCCUUGCUCUGGGCCUGCAUGUCCCAGGCGAUGGAGACUGUGUGACCCCCUACCUUCCCCACCCUGGAGGUAGUCACACAGCCAGCAGGCCAAAGUUACAGGUCUAACUUCCUCUCUCCCUAUAAGUCCAUGUCCAGCAUGCACCUGGAAUUACUCUUCAUGCAAAUGAAGCAUUCCCAGCACCUCAGGCAAGGUUGUGCACUCAACCCCCAGACCCCUACCCACUCCCCAAGGUUUAUAUAAUCCGUGUUAUUCACUCAACCCC
ensembl:processed_transcript